rnacentral:RNase_P_RNA from 1 species
GGAGGAGGCCGGGCGGCCGCUCUCCCGGUCGAGGGAGGGAGGAAAGUCCGGGCUCCACAGGGCAGGGUGGUGGGUAACACCCACCGGGGGUGACCCCAGGGAAAGUGCCACAGAAACAUACCGCCUCCUGCCGCCCGGUGGCCCCUUCCCGAAGAGGGUUCGGGCGGUGCGGGGGUAAGGGUGAAACGGUGCGGUAAGAGCGCACCGGCGGCGUGGUGACACGCCGGCCAGGCAAACCCCACCCGGAGCAAGGCCGCGUAGGGGGAGAUGAGGUGGCCCGCCGAUCCCCGGGUAGGCCGCUAGAGGCCUCCGGCAACGGAGGUCCAAGAUGGAUGGCCGUCCCGCCGCGUAACUCCGCGGCGGACAGAACCCGGCUUACAGGCCUGCUCCCCUG